rnacentral:rRNA from 1 species
UACAGGGGGGGCAAGCGUUGUUCGGAAUUACUGGGCGUAAAGGGCUCGUAGGUGGCCAACUAAGUCAGACGUGAAAUCCCUCAGCUUAACUGGGGAACUGCGUCUGAUACUGGAUGGCUUGAGUUUGGGAGAGGGAUGCGGAAUUCCAGGUGUAGCGGUGAAAUGCGUAGAUAUCUGGAGGAACACCGGUGGCGAAGGCGGCAUCCUGGACCAACACUGACGCUGAGUGAGCGAAAGCCAGGGGAGCAAACGGG